rnacentral:rRNA from 1 species
CCUACGGGCGGCAGCAGUGGGGAAUAUUGCACAAUGGGCGCAAGCCUGAUGCAGCCAUGCCGCGUGUGUGAAGAAGGCCUUCGGGUUGUAAAGCACUUUCAGCGGGGAGGAAGGCGGUGAGGUUAAUAACCUCAUCGAUUGACGUUACCCGCAGAAGAAGCACCGGCUAACUCCGUGCCAGCAGCCGCGGUAAUACGGAGGGUGCAAGCGUUAAUCGGAAUUACUGGGCGUAAAGCGCACGCAGGCGGUCUGUCAAGUCGGAUGUGAAAUCCCCGGGCUCAACCUGGGAACUGCAUUCGAAACUGGCAGGCUAGAGUCUUAUAGAGGGGGGGAGAAUUCCAGGUGUAGCGGUGAAAUGCGUAGAGAUCUGGAGGAAUACCGGUGGCGAAGGCGGCCCCCUGGACAAAGACUGACGCUCAGGUGCGAAAGCGUGGGGAGCAAACAGGAUUAGAUACCCGAAUAGUC